rnacentral:lncRNA from 1 species
UAAGAAGAAAUAAUGCAAAUAGCACUGAAUGGGGACUGGUGACUGCUAAAAGAAUUUUUUGGAGAGGAAACAUCAGUGAUACUUAGAAGAGAAACUCCAUGAUGGUCACUGGGUUGGUCACUGGAUACUCAGGCAGAUAGAGGGGUCCCAAGACAACUAAGCGCUGAGGAUUCCUGCAUCUGCUGGCAGAUAAGGGGAGAGAAGUUCUGAUGACAUCAGCUGAACAC